GUGGGGGAUAUUGCGCAAUGGGCGAAAGCCUGACGCAGCGACGCCGCGUGGGUGAUGAAGGCCUUCGGGUCGUAAAGCCCUGUCGAGGGGAACGAAACGGCUUCGACCUAAUACGUCGGGGCCCUGACGGUACCCCCAAAGGAAGCACCGGCUAACUCCGUGCCAGCAGCCGCGGUAAUACGGAGGGUGCAAGCGUUGUUCGGAAUCACUGGGCGUAAAGGGCGUGUAGGCGGUCCGCUAAGUCUGAUGUGAAAGCCCGGGGCUCACCCCCGGAAGGGCAUUGGAAACUGGCGGACUCGAGUCCCGGAGAGGAGGGUGGAAUUCCUGGUGUAGCGGUGAAAUGCGUAGAUAUCAGGAGGAACACCGGUGGCGAAGGCGGCCCUCUGGACGGUGACUGACGCUAAGACGCGAAAGCGUGGGGAGCAAACAGGAUUAGAAACCCUAGUAGUCC
rnacentral:rRNA from 1 species